rnacentral:lncRNA from 1 species
AACAAGUGAAAGGCUGGAAAAGUAAAUAAAACACGGCAGAUUCUGUCAUUUCUAUUUGGAUGGAACUUCAACACAUGUGGUAUCUUCAUCAAACUUUUUAACCUCCUGGAGGCACAUAGAGAUACAAUACUGCUGAGCAUUUGGUGACUGACAUAACAAAUAAAGAAAAUGUGAUGGAAGC